UGUCUUGACGGGCCGCCUCGUUUACUUUGAACAAAUUAGAGUGCUCAAAGCAGGCUACGACGCUUGAAUAUUGUGUGCAUGGAAUAAUGGAACAGGACCUCGAUUUUAUUUUGUUGGUUUUCUGAAUCAGAGGUAAUGAUAAACGGGAACGGACGGAGGUAUCCGUAUUGCUACGUUAGAGGUGAAAUUCUUGGAUUGUCGCAAGACGAACGAGUGCGAAAGCUUUUGCCGAGAACGCUUCUGUCAAUCAAGAACGAAAGUUAGAGGUUCGAAGGCGAUCAGAUACCGCCCUAGUUCUAACCAUAAACAAUGCCAACCAGCGAUCCGCCGAUGUUCCUCCGAUGACUCGACGGGCAGCUUCCGGGAAACCAAAGUUUUUGGGUCCGGGGAAGUAUGGUUGCAAAGCUGAAACUUAAAGGAAUUGACGGAAGGGCACCACAGGAGUGGAGCCUGCGGCUUAAUUGACCCAACACGGGAAACCUCACCAGGCCCGGACACUGGAAGGAUUGACAGAUUGAUAGCUCUUUCUUGAUUCAGUGGGUGGUGGUGCAUGGCCGUUCUUAGUUGGUGGAGCGAUUUGUCUGGUUAAUUCCGAUAACGAACGAGACUCUGGCCUACUAAAUAGUCGCGAAACGACAUCCGCAUUCGUGCUGUCGGCGACAAUAUGAACUCUUCUUAGAGGGACAAGCGGCUUCUAGCCGCACGAGAUUGAGCAAUAACAGGUCUGUGAUGCCCUUAGAUGUCCUGGGCAGCACGCGCGCUACACUGAAGGAAUCAACGUGUGCACAUCCUUGUCCGAGAGGACCGGGUAACCCGCUGAACCUCCUUCGUGAUAGGGAUUGGGGCUUGCAAUUUUUUCCCAUAAACGAGGAAUUCCCAGUAAGCGCGGGUCAUUAGCUCGCAUUGAUUACGUCCCUGCCCUUUGUACACACCGCCCGUCGCUACUACCGAUUGAAUGAUUUAGUGAGGUCUUCGGACCGUCGCGCGGCUAUCGCGAGAGCGUGUUGUCGAUGUCGCUGGAAAGAUGAUCAAACUUGAUUAUUUAGAGGAAGUAAAAGUCGUAACAAGGUUUCCGUAGGUGAACCUGCGGAAG
rnacentral:rRNA from 1 species